GCUGCGCUCAUACAUCGAGCGAUUCAACCAGGAAGCUGUCGAGGUAGAUACCACCGAGCACAUGAAGAAGUAUCUCCUCGAGAGAGGUCUCUUACCCGGCAGUGAACUUAGCAGAGCCGUAGGGAUCGAGCCUCCCCGCACCUUAAACGAGCUCCUGCAUAAAGCCCAGGCCUACAUCAGAUACGAGGAAAAGCAGGUGGCACACAAUGCCCGCAGCGGACGUAACGCUGGG
rnacentral:lncRNA from 1 species